GGACAAACGUACCUGUGGGCAUAUUCAAUAAGUACGAAAUUUUUGAGUACCUGUUGUACUGAGGAAGUAAGGCAAGGAUUCAAUUUAUUUACUUAUACUUUUGAGAAUACAAAAUUUACUGAGGAAGCUCGAGAACAAGACACUCGACACAUAUUAGUGACAGUGAAAGCACUUUUUAGUUUAAUCACUUGCCACACUUUCUAAUGACGUUAUAUUCUCACACUUAUGUCGCUCUGCAGUAAAUUCUACGCCAUAACACGCCAGCAAUUAAAUUACAAGACGAGUUUUAUACGGUACGGGUUUAUCAUUUGUGUUUAAAUUUUUUCUUAUAUAAUGAAUUUUUUCACAACUUUAAUGUUUACCUUACAAGCGAAUAAAAAUAUCAAAUAUAUGUCAACACAAAAUCAGUAAUGAAUUACUGGCAAUUUCAACUUGUAAACAUAGAAACGUUUUGCAGCCAUUAAUCAUUUAUAUGCAUACGUCUAUGAUACACGCACGGAAAACAAAAUCCUUCUAUUCUUGGGUUCAUAUGACGUCACGGCAGUGACGGGG